rnacentral:rRNA from 1 species
UACGGAGGGAGCUAGCGUUGUUCGGAAUUACUGGGCGUAAAGCGCGCGUAGGCGGCUUUGCAAGUCGGGUGUGAAAUCCCCAGGCUUAACCUGGGAACUGCAUUCGAGACUGCAUUGCUAGAGUAUGGGAGAGGGAAGUGGAAUUUCCGGUGUAGCGGUGAAAUGCGUAGAUAUCGGAAGGAACGUCAGUGGCGAAAGCGACUUCCUGGACCAAUACUGACGCUCAUGUGCGAAAGCGUGGGGAGCAAACAGG